rnacentral:rRNA from 1 species
CCUACGUGAGGCAGCAGUGAGGAAUAUUGGUCAAUGGACGAGAGUCUGAACCAGCCAAGUAGCGUGAAGGAUGACUGCCCUAUGGGUUGUAAAUUUCUUUUAUAAAGGAAUAAAACGAGGCACGUGUGCCUUUUUGCAUGUACUUUAUGAAUAAGGAUCGGCUAACUCCGUUCCAGCAGCCGCGGUAAUACGGAGGAUCCGAGCGUUAUCCGGAUUUAUUGGGUUUAAAGGGAGCGUAGAUGGGUUGUUAAGUCAGUUGUGAAAGUUUGCGGCUCAACCGUAAAAUUGCAAUUGAUACUGGCAGUCUUGAGUACAGUUGAGGUAGGCGGAAUUCGUGGUGUAGCGGUGAAAUGCUUAGAGAUCACGAAGAACCCCGAGUGCGAAGGCAGCUUACUAAACUGUGACUGACAUUGAUGCUCGAAAGUGUGGGUAUCAAACAGGAUUAGAUACCCUUGUAGUC